AUGGCGGCGUCCGUGGACGCGGCCGCGGCCGUGGCCGCGCCUGCUCCCCCGCCGCCCGUCGCCGCGCCCGAGGAGGCCGGCGGGGGCGACGCGGAGCAGGCCAGGAUCCUCAUCGGGGCGCUCAACCUUCUGUCGCGCAACCUCCCGCUUCCACCCGCCGUCCUGCGCGCGGUCUCGUCCAUCUACCACGGCGGCGAAGACGCGGACCAGGAGGAGGAGGAAGGGGCCGAGGGCCCGUCGCUGGUCGGGGAUGAAGGCGGAGAGGGGGAUCCCGCUGACGCCGUCGAUGCGGCCGAGGUGCGUGCCGGUGCUUCUCCACUAUGCGGCGCGUUUCGGUUGGUUGCUCUGGCGUCGUGUAGCUCGAUGGGGACUCUGGUGCCGGGGUUUGGUCUGGUGCAUGGUUUGGCUAGGGAAGCCACCUUGAUUCAAGAGCUUGAAGAUUCUAUAUAUAGAAACCAAACGACACACAUGUCGUCCUCAAAGUUGACUGCUCUAAAAGAUGAACGCUUCAAUACCUGCAUCCAGCAUCGGUUAUCUGAACUCGAAGGGUUACCAUCUACUUGGGGUGAAGAUUUGCAAAUGAAGUGUUUACUCGAAUUAUAUGGGCUCAAGGAACGACUUUGCCAAGACAUUUAUGUUGUGAUUGCUUUGCUGUCAAUUGCUUGGUCCAUAUGUUUGGCACUGCCAAAAUUUUGCAAAGACAAGGUGGCUGCCAAUUUCCCAAUUCUUUUGGAAGCAAACCAUUUGGAUGACUACUUUCUGGGUAUACCAACAUAUUGGCAAGCCAAAAACUGGCAGCUAACCAAGCAUGCCUGGUGUCUUAUUUGA
rnacentral:rRNA from 1 species